UACGAAGGGGGCUAGCGUUGCUCGGAAUCACUGGGCGUAAAGGGUGCGUAGGCGGGUCUUUAAGUCGAGGGGUGAAAUCCUGGAGCUCAACUCCAGAACUGCCUUUGAUACUGAAGAUCUUGAGUUCGGGAGAGGUGAGUGGAACUGCGAGUGUAGAGGUGAAAUUCGUAGAUAUUCGCAAGAACACCAGUGGCGAAGGCGGCUCACUGGCCCGAUACUGACGCUGAGGCACGAAAGCGUGGGGAGCAAACAGGGA
rnacentral:rRNA from 1 species